UACGUAGGGAGCAAGCGUUGUCCGGAAUCAUUGGGCGUAAAGCGCGCGUAGGCGGCCCUGUAAGUCCGUUGUGAAAGUCAAAGGCUCAACCUUUGAAAGCCGAUGGAUACUGCAGGGCUAGAGUCCGGAAGAGGCGAGUGGAAUUCCUGGUGUAGCGGUGGAACGCGCAGAUAUCAGGAGGAACACCAAUAGCGAAGGCAGCUCGCUGGGACGGUACUGACGCUAAGGCGCGAAAGCGUGGGGAGCGAACAGG
rnacentral:rRNA from 1 species